rnacentral:rRNA from 1 species
UACGAAGGGUGCAAGCGUUACUCGGAAUUACUGGGCGUAAAGCGUGCGUAGGUGGUGAGUUAAGUCUGUCGUGAAAGCCCCGGGCUCAACCUGGGAAUGGCGAUGGAUACUGGCUCGCUAGAGUGCGGUAGAGGAGAGUGGAAUUCCCGGUGUAGCAGUGAAAUGCGUAGAGAUCGGGAGGAACAUCAGUUGCGGAAGGCGGCUCUCUGGACCAGCACUGACACUGAGGCACGAAAGCGUGGGGAGCAAACAGG